UCCUUGGUAGCUCAGAUGGUAAAGAAUCUGCCUGUAAUGCAGAAGACCCAGGUUUGAUCCCUGGGUCAGGAA
rnacentral:tRNA from 1 species